rnacentral:rRNA from 1 species
AUUGAACGCUGGCGGCAGGCCUAACACAUGCAAGUCGGACGAGUGGCGGACGGGUGAGUAAUAUAUGGGAACGUACCCGGUAGUGGGGGAUAACUAAUGGAAACGUUAGCUAAUACCGCAUACUAUUAGAGGUGCCCAGAUGUGAUUAGCUGGUUGGUGGGGUAAAGGCUCACCAAGGCGACGAUCAGUAGCGGGUCUGAGAGGAUGAUCGGCCACACUGGGACUGAGACACGGUCCAGACUCCUACGGGAGGCAGCAGUGGGGAAUUUUGCACAAUGGGCGCAAGCCUGAUGCAGCCAUGCCGCGGGUAUGAAGAAGGCCUUCGGGUUGUAAAGUACUUUCAGCGGGGAGGCGUUACCCGCAGAAGAAGCACCGGCUAACUCCGUGCCAGCAGCCGCGGUAAUAC